AGGCAGAAUCUUCAUUAUAAAUAUUCUCAGCAAUUUCUGCCUUUGUUUCAACAGUUGGACAUAGAAGUACAGAAAGCUGAGGACCAAGAAGAAAAACUAGCUAAUAUGUUUCAAGAGCAAAGAAAGCUUUUUCUUCAAUCUAGAAUUAUUCAGCGUGAGAAAGUUAAAGAAAUUAAAAAUUUGUACGAGCAAUUGCUAAAGAGUAUCAAAGACCUGGAGGAGUAUCAUGAAAGUCUUGUUAUUGGUGAACAAAGUAAAGUGAAAAAAGAAAUGGCUGAGUUGCAGGAAAACAUUCUUAGGGAGACUCAACAGCAAGAAGUGGCAGUUGUUGAAAAGUCUCUUCACUCUCUGUUAUACUGAUGGCUCUGAAGAAAAAACUCAAACCUACAUUACCUACAGUUAAAAAACUCAAACCUAAGUUACCUAAGUUAAAUAUAACAUUAGUUA